GACGAACGCUGGCGGCGUGCUUAACACAUGCAAGUCGAACGAUGAAGCCGGAGCUUGCUCCGGUGGAUUAGUGGCGAACGGGUGAGUAACACGUGAGCAAUCUGCCCUUGACUCUGGGAUAACUGCGGGAAACUGUAGCUAAUACCGGAUACGACACCUUGGGGCAUCCCAGGGUGUGGAAAGAAUUUCGGUCAAGGAUGAGCUCGCGGCCUAUCAGCUAGUUGGUGAGGUAAUGGCUCACCAAGGCGACGACGGGUAGCCGGCCUGAGAGGGUGAACGGCCAUACUGGGACUGAGAUACGGCCCAGACUCCUACGGGAGGCAGCAGUGGGGAAUAUUGCACAAUGGGCGCAAGCCUGAUGCAGCGACGCCGCGUGAGGGAUGGCGGCCUUCGGGUUGUAAACCUCUUUCAGUAGGGACGAAGCGCAAGUGACGGUACCUACAGAAGAAGGACCGGCCAACUACGUGCCAGCAGCCGCAGUAA
rnacentral:rRNA from 1 species